rnacentral:rRNA from 1 species
UGGGGAAUUUUGGACAAUGGGGGAAACCCUGAUCCAGCCAUCCCGCGUGUGCGAUGAAGGCCUUCGGGUUGUAAAGCACUUUUGGCAGGAAAGAAACGUCGCGGGUUAAUACCCCGCGAAACUGACGGUACCUGCAGAAUAAGCACCGGCUAACUACGUGCCAGCAGCCGCGGUAAUACGUAGGGUGCAAGCGUUAAUCGGAAUUACUGGGCGUAAAGCGUGCGCAGGCGGUUCGGAAAGAAAGAUGUGAAAUCCCAGAGCUUAACUUUGGAACUGCAUUUUUAACUACCGGGCUAGAGUGUGUCAGAGGGAGGUGGAAUUCCGCGUGUAGCAGUGAAAUGCGUAGAUAUGCGGAGGAACACCGAUGGUGAAGGCAGCCUCCUGGGAUAACACUGACGCUCAUGCACGAAAAGCGUGGGGAGCAAACAGGAUUAGAUACCCUGGUAGUCCACGCCCUAAACGAUGUCAACUAGCUGUUGGGGCCUUCGGGCCUUGGUAGCGCAGCUAACGCGUGAAGUUGACCGCCUGGGGAGUACGGUCGCAAGAUUAAAACUCAAAGGAAUUGGAC